UUACAGGACAGUCUGCGUGUCCGUAAAUGCAUCAGGACUGGUGAGUGGACUAAGCGCGGGGAAAACCGAGGGAUGGUCACUAGCAUACAGCUCCAGGUCUCAAUCCAGAGAAGAUGCAGCCACUCCAGCUCAUAAAUUGAGCUCCAUAAACUUCAUGUGGUAUCAUCUCUGAUGGAUCUUCCACAAUGUUGGUGGAAAUCUGACAACAGAGAGACAACUUGGACCAUGAAGAGCCUCAACUUCUGCCCGUGUCAAAUUGGGGGCGACCGCAGGUGCGCAGCCCGAGCCGAACAUUGGACGCCCGUCAGACCGGACCAUCGCCUGGAACUCCGGAGGCAACAGUCCAGGCUAGGACCAACACGUCAACCUGAACAGAGACUCUGGCCUUAACUAGGAUGGCCUCUGCGUGGCGGAAGUUGGCCUCCGGAUAACUGUCAAUCUGCAGGUCGUCUCUGUGAAAAGGUGGUAAGUGCGCCAGAUUGCCGUCGCCGAUCAUCAAGACCCUCCUGUUGGCCGACAACUUCCAAUCUGUCAUCUUCCGUAUUGUAUUUAUGUGUCUAGUGGGUCUAUGGGGGGAGGCUUAGGUUAGGAUAGGAUAAGAUAAGGAGGGAUAGAAUAGGUUAGGUUUGGUUAGGUCACCUGGGGAUAGGUUGGUUGGCAACACUAAAUUGGCCCGAGUGUGUGAAUGUAAUGUUGAAUGUUGUCUGUCUAUCUGUGUUGGCCCUGCGAUGAGGUGGCGACUUGUCCAUGGUGUACCCCGCUUUCCGCCCGAAUGUAGUUGAGAUAGUCUCCAGCACCCCCGCGACCCCAAAAGGGACAAGCGGUAGAAAAGGUGGGGUAGGGUACGAUAGGAUGAACAUAUCCUCCUUUGGGAAAACUAAACACAUAUGUACAGAUUACAGUGUUUAAAUUUGGGUGUAAUAAAGUCUAAGGCUGUGGAUAAAAAUGAACAUGCAGCAAUAGCGUUCCUUCCUGUUGCUGAAGGAGC